CGGACGGGUGAGUAAUGCUUGGGAAUCUAGCUUAUGGAGGGGGAUAACUACGGGAAACUGUAGCUAAUACCGCGUAAUAUCGAAAGAUUAAAGUGUGGGACCUUCGGGCCACAUGCCAUAGGAUGAGCCCAAGUGGGAUUAGGUAGUUGGUGAGGUAAAGGCUCACCAAGCCGACGAUCUCCAGCUGGUCUGAGAGGAUGACCAGCCACACUGGGACUGAGACACGGCCCAG
rnacentral:rRNA from 1 species